rnacentral:lncRNA from 1 species
AGGGCGUGGCGGUGUCGCCACGUGGGCUGAAGCUGCUGCCCUGCGCGGGGCCGGUCCGUCGGUCCGUGCUCUCGUUCUGAUGGCGGUUUGUCGUUCCGAGCUCAUCUGUGGGUGUUUAACCCGCUGGCUGUGCAGGAGUGAUUUUUCUCAGGACUCGCACCGUGGCGUGGAGCGCCAGCAGCAGAGGGGCUCUGGCGGUCUCUGUCCGUGCCCGGUCGGCUGCUCCUCUCCCUUCUCUGCUCAUCUUAGGGUUUCUUUAACGGCUCUGUUUGUGGUCACAUCCCUGUGCUGCUCUUCUCAGCGCGGGUGUGCGCUUUCCUUUGAUUUGAGCUUGUUUUCUGGUCUCCAUCAGCUCUGCAGGCACCUCGUGUCGGUGCGCGCUGUGUCUGCUGGGACGUCGAUCCGCAGGGAGGGGAGCACAAAAAAUCCGCGUCCCGUUAAGCGGGGCAGAGCAGCAGCAGCAGCUGAAGGCUCUGAAGUUCACAGGCUGCUGUCUGCACGUGGAGGUGUUGCGUUGUUUCACCACGUGGCCUCGGUUCUGCAGGUGAAUUUAAAGAUUGUCAUUGUGAUAUCAUCACGACAAAUACUUCUCAGGAGAACUUCUUACUUCACGACAAAUCCAUCAUUGGAGAGGUCUGGGCAUCCCUGCUAUGUCCCAUUGGUGUCAGCAUUGGUGGAAGGAAGAGAACCAGUCCCUGCUGUGAUGCUGGGGUGCCCUAUGCUGAAUUCCACAGGUGCCAAGAGAGGAGGAACUGCCACUUCCUAG